rnacentral:rRNA from 1 species
CCUACGGGUGGCAGCAGUAGGGAAUCUUUCACAAUGGGCGAAAGCCUGAUGGAGCAACGCCGCGUGCAGGAUGAAGGCCUUCGGGUGGUAAACUGCUUUUAUAAGCGAGAAAGAUGAUGGUAACUUAUGAAUAAGGAGCGGCUAACGACGUGCCAGCAGCCGCGGCCGUACGUAGGAUCCGAGCAUUAUCCGGAGUGCCUGGGUGUGCAGCGAUGCGUCGGUGGUCUAAUAAGGAGCUAGUGGAAUCUGGUGGCUCCACCAUUCAGACUAUUCGCUAAACUGUUAAGCUCGAGACCGUUAGAGGUAACUGGAAUUUCUAGUGUAGGCGUGAAAUCCGUAGAUAUUAGGAGGAACACCAAUGGCGUAGGCAGUUUACUGGGACGGUUCUGACACUGAGGCACGAAAGCGUCGGGAGCAAACUGGAUUAGAUACCCCAGUAGUC